AUGGAAAUGACCUCUACAAAAAUUGCAUUAUGUUGUGUUCUAAUUCUUUCUGGAGCCACCAUAAGAGGAUGUUUUUGCUACAAGGAAGAGAAUAUCAAGGAAAAAACUCAGUCAAUUCCAUGGCCAUUACAAAUUCCUCCAAUCAAUAGAGAUGAAGCCUCUACUCAAGCUUCUGAGGAGCAGAUAAAUCAUUUCUCAGUUCACUUAUGGAACAAAAGGCUAGAUGGUAAUAAUUAUUAUGCAUUAGAAGCUACGAUGGAUGUCUAUGGAUUUCAUUUAGGACAUGAAGAACAAAGUGUGGCGGCAAUUUGGAUCUAUAGUAGAGGAGAAGAUGGAAAAUCUCCCGUUACUGGAUUUGCACUUGGAUGGCAUAUCCAUCCUGCACUUUACAAGGAUACAAAUACAUAUUUUCUUACACAUUGGACUGGCAAUGGAUCACCUCCAGAUGGAUGCUAUAACAUUCGAUGUCCUGGUUACAUAAGAACAAGUUCUAGUACAACUCCUGGGGACGUUAUUACUCCUGUGUCUAGCAUCAGGGAUAAAAAGCAGUACAUAACAAUCAAGGCUUACAAGGAUAAGAAAUCUGGUGAUUGGCAAGUCCACUAUGGAUUCAAUAGUCCUGCAAAAUUAAUUGGUUACUUUCCCAAAUCAUUAUUCUCGGACAUGGAAAAGAAACAAUUAAUUAUUUCUUUUGGUGGCUUCACAAGCCACCCACAUGCACAACCAAGUCCUCCAAUGGGGAGCGGGUUAUUUCCAGGGAGAAAUGCCGCCUCCUUCAAGAAUCUAAAAUUUGUUGAUGCAGAAGGCUCUACUCAUGACAUCAACAAAGAUUUACCAUUUAAUGUAACUUCUCAUAGUUGUUAUCGUCUUUCUACUAUCGUAUCUGGUCACUUCUUCUAUGGGGGCCCAGGUCAUUGUGUUGUUUGA
rnacentral:rRNA from 1 species